UCUUAGCAGGCAAGCACUGCACACUGCAGAUGAGCUUCUUCGUGCUUGCAUUCUGCAGCAACUUAUUUUCAUUCAACAUUUUAGAUAAACUGGUUCAACAUUUUACAUGAAUUUUUUUUGAAUCAUUUUUUGAUUGUAGUAGUUGGUCCAAUUGGACUUGUACUCUUAAUUAGUACUAUUAUUAAACUACCAAGGGUUUUAUGUUGUAGCUAAUCAACUUGUACUUCCCAACUUGUGUAAUGCACGGUGCGGCUGUAUUCUCUAGUUUAGCUUGUAGGUUGUGCUUUGGGAGUUUGGUAGGCCCAUCGCUAGUUUAAUGUGCUGCUGUUGUAGCCUGAAUUUGCUCUGUUUGGCAUUUUGGUUAGUCUUAGUUGUCAAGUUUGAACACUCAUGUUUAGCUUGAUGACUUUUAAUAUUGUGAAUAUGAAAAUUCAGAGGUUGUACUGAAGUUCCAUGCAUUUUAUUCUGUGUCCUGAGCUUACCUUUGUAUCUCCGGAUUUUUUAUUCAUCUGUUACCCUUCCUUUCACUGUAGUUUAUCUUCGUACAGAAAUCAAUCAUGGCAUUCUUCCUAUUUGCAUUUUAUUAUGUUUUUAAAAUUCCCUAGCACAACUACAUAUAAGAAUGUGGGUAUGUGUUUUCUUAUUUCAGUGUCUAUAGGCAUCUAUGCAUUUGCAUGAUGUUGAAUUAUGUGCUAUGGAAUAUACAUUAGAUGAUUUAUACUGUUCUUCUUCUCGACUAAUCAAAUGUGCUUUGUUUUUUCAGUAUGGAUACCUAGGUCAAGCUUGCGGUGGUGAAGGUGAUGAUAUGGGUUUCCUAUCUUCAGAAGUAAAAUGUUUGCUUGCUACCUUCUUUAGGGUACUGUUUUCUAAUCAAAUUGUUGAACACAUGAGUUAUUUAUACAAAUCAUGUGCUAUUUAUGGUUACUCCACCUUCUUGAUUACUUAGCUGAAUUAUGUUUUGUGUACUAAACAACAUGUGUAGUAUUUGGCUUCCAUGUACAAACAUGAUAAGUAUGUAUACUUCUUUGAGGUUCAAAUUCUACAGAUGUUGCAUAAUAUUGGUGUCAAAGUGCCUCUCCUUAGGGAUUGAUUUAAACCGCGUAUGAGCUACUAAAACAAUUGUUUUGCUGUUCAAACAUGAAAUUCUAGUUCUUUGUUUCAAACAUCGAAAUGUUGUUUACCUUGUCCUUCUAUGCUUAAAUGGUAAAAAUUUCGCAUUUAUAGGAUUGUACACCUGAUGUGAUCGGAGUAGGAUUUACUUGCUGCUCACAAUUACUACUUGUAUUCACUGAUUUCUAUGCCUCAUUUUGCUUGUUUUACUCUCAUUUACACAGACAAACUGCCUACAAGUUAGUGUGCUGUUAGAUUUUCUUUUAUUUUGUUCUUAACCAUUUUGUCUGAUAACUUGCAAAUGUUUACCUUCAUUCGCGUUUCAUCGCAAGGUCUAGGACAAAGAAGUCAGGAGAAGCACAAAGUUCUUGAUCAUUGGAGCUAGUUAUUGUUUUGGUUUUUUAGUUGUGUUACCUGAUGUGAACUAGUUUUGAUUGUAAACCUGAUGCGAACCAUGUUUGAUUGAAAUGUGCCAAGUUUAGAUAUGUUUGAUUGUAUUCAUGAUGUGACAGAGGUUCAAGUUAUAAUGGUUGUUUGACAUAUUUUGUAAUUUCUGAUGUGUGGG
rnacentral:lncRNA from 1 species